GCUAAGAACAGUCCUUCCCAAAUUCCGUGUGAGUCUGUGCCUCCCUCAUUGUGGAUUACCUACCUCCUGUGUCCUCCCUCGACGCUGUCGGUGCUACCGGUCAGACGCCACUCCUCGUGUGCUCACCUUUUCCUCUCGUCGAUCCCUCUCCGGUGGAAUCCCCUUCCUUCCAACAAGACGACCCGGUCAUCAGCUCCAGUAUUCGCUUCCUGACCCCUCCCCUGACUUCAAUAAAACGUAUUAUUGUGCACUUUA